rnacentral:rRNA from 1 species
CAGGCUUAACACAUGCAAGUCGAGGGGCAUCAGGAAGAAAGCUUGCUUUCUUUGCUGGCGACCGGCGCACGGGUGAGUAACACGUAUCCAACCUGCCCUUUACUCGGGGAUAGCCUUUCGAAAGAAAGAUUAAUACCCGAUGGCAUAAUGAUUCCGCAUGGUUUCAUUAUUAAAGGAUUCCGGUAAAGGAUGGGGAUGCGUUCCAUUAGGUUGUUGGUGAGGUAACGGCUCACCAAGCCUUCGAUGGAUAGGGGUUCUGAGAGGAAGGUCCCCCACAUUGGAACUGAGACACGGUCCAAACUCCUACGGGAGGCAGCAGUGAGGAAUAUUGGUCAAUGGGCGCUAGCCUGAACCAGCCAAGUAGCGUGAAGGAUGAAGGCUCUAUGGGUCGUAAACUUCUUUUAUAUAAGAAUAAAGUGCAGUAUGUAUACUGUUUUGUAUGUAUUAUAUGAAUAAGGAUCGGCUAACUCCGUGCCAGCAGCCGCGGUAAUACGGAGGAUCCGAGCGUUAUCCGGAUUUAUUGGGUUUAAAGGGAGCGUAGGUGGACUGGUAAGUCAGUUGUGAAAGUUUGCGGCUCAACCGUAAAAUUGCAGUUGAUACUGUCAGUCUUGAGUACAGUAGAGGUGGGCGGAAUUCGUGGUGUAGCGGUGAAAUGCUUAGAUAUCACGAAGAACUCCGAUUGCGAAGGCAGCUCACUGGACUGCAACUGACACUGAUGCUCGAAAGUGUGGGUAUCAAACAGGAUUAGAUACCCUGGUAGUCCACACAGUAAACGAUGAAUACUCGCUGUUUGCGAUAUACAGUAAGCGGCCAAGCGAAAGCAUUAAGUAUUCCACCUGGGGAGUACGCCGGCAACGGUGAAACUCAAAGGAAUUGACGGGGGCCCGCACAAGCGGAGGAACAUGUGGUUUAAUUCGAUGAUACGCGAGGAACCUUACCCGGGCUUAAAUUGCAGUGGAAUGAUGUGGAAACAUGUCAGUGAGCAAUCACCGCUGUGAAGGUGCUGCAUGGUUGUCGUCAGCUCGUGCCGUGAGGUGUCGGCUUAAGUGCCAUAACGAGCGCAACCCUUAUCUUUAGUUACUAACAGGUUAUGCUGAGGACUCUAGAGAGACUGCCGUCGUAAGAUGUGAGGAAGGUGGGGAUGACGUCAAAUCAGCACGGCCCUUACGUCCGGGGCUACACACGUGUUACAAUGGGGGGGUACAGAAGGCAGCUAGCGGGUGACCGUAUGCUAAUCCCAAAAUCCUCUCUCAGUUCGGAUCGAAGUCUGCAACCCGACUUCGUGAAGCUGGAUUCGCUAGUAAUCGCGCAUCAGCCACGGCGCGGUGAAUACGUUCCCGGGCCUUGUACACACCGCCCGUCAAGCCAUGGGAGCCGGGGGUACCUGAAGUACGUAACCGCAAGGAUCGUCCUAGGGUAAAACUGG